CCUACGGGUGGCAGCAGUGGGGAAUAUUGGACAAUGGGCGAAAGCCUGAUCCAGCCAUGCCGCGUGUGUGAAGAAGGCCUUCGGGUUGUAAAGCACUUUCAGUGGGGAAGAAAGCCUUGGGGCUAAUACCCUCGAGGAAGGACAUCACCCACAGAAGAAGCACCGGCUAACUCCGUGCCAGCAGCCGCGGUAAGACGGAGGGUGCGAGCGUUAAUCGGAAUUACUGGGCGUAAAGCGCGCGUAGGCGGUCUGAUAAGCCGGUUGUGAAAGCCCCGGGCUCAACCUGGGAACGGCAUCCGGAACUGUCAGGCUAGAGUGCAGGAGAGGAAGGUAGAAUUCCCGGUGUAGCGGUGAAAUGCGUAGAGAUCGGGAGGAAUACCAGUGGCGAAGGCGGCCUUCUGGACUGACACUGACGCUGAGGUGCGAAAGCGUGGGUAGCAAACAGGAUUAGAUACCCCGGUAGUC
rnacentral:rRNA from 1 species